rnacentral:misc_RNA from 1 species
GAGUAUUGAGUCUGGGACAGCCCCGGGAGCGCUUUCGAGCGUGACUUGGUUCUGGCUGUCCACCUCACCGUACAUCUGAUCCAAACCCCUGUGCACUAGCUCUGUCCCGCCCAGUGUGCGGACAGAACGGAACAAACACUUUUUGAAGUAAGAAUGGACGUUUUGUUGUUGGAUCAUAACGACCAACGAAGACAAAUA